rnacentral:rRNA from 1 species
UACAGAGGUCUCAAGCGUUGUUCGGAAUCACUGGGCGUAAAGGGUGCGUAGGCUGCACGGUAAGUCAGAGGUGAAAUCCCGGAGCUCAACUUCGGAAUUGCCUCCGAUACUGCCGUGCUUGAGGACUGGAGAGGAGACUGGAAUUCCUGGUGUAGCGGUGAAAUGCGCAGAUAUCAGGAGGAACACCGGUGGCGAAGGCGGGUCUCUGGGCAACUACUGACGCUGAGGAGCGAAAGCGUGGGGAGCGAACAGG